rnacentral:rRNA from 1 species
AACGAACGCUGGCGGCGUGCCUAACACAUGCAAGUCGAGCGGUAACAGGUCUAGUUUACUAGAUGCUGACGAGCGGCGGACGGCUGAGUAACGCGUAGGAACGUGCCCCAAAGUGAGGAAUAACUGCCCGAAAGGGUGGCUAAUGCCGCAUAUGAUCUUCGGAUUAAAGUCUUCGGACGCUUUGGGAGCGGCCUGCGUUA